rnacentral:rRNA from 1 species
ACUAAACAGCUAGCUUAAACCAAAACUAAACUAACCAUUAUUAGUAUACCUCAACAACAUUACUAAAUAACUAAACAUUCUUCUGCCUUAGUACGGGCGAAAAAAAGGCACCUAUAAGCAAUAGAAAAGUACGUAGGGAAAGCUGAAAAAGAAUGAACAACCUUUUAGUAAACAAAGCAGAGAUUAACCCUCGUACCUUUUGCAUCAUGAUUUAGUUAGUCUAACUGAGCAAAGAGAACUUUAGUUCAAACCCCCGAAACCAAGUGAGCUACCUCGAGACAGCCUUUAACUAGGGCUAAUCCGUCUCUGUGGCAAAAGAGUGGAAAGAGCUCCAGGUAGUGGUGACAAACCUACCGAACUUGGUAAUAGCUGGUUGCCUAGGAAACGGAUAGAAGUUCAGCCUCAUACUCCUCAGCUCACUACAGAUACAAUCCCUAACGAGCCCGAGAAACCUAUGAGAGUUAAUCAAAGGAGGUACAGCUCCUUUGAAAAAGGAUACAACCUUUAAAGGAGGUUAAGGAUCAUACUACGCAAGAUUACUGCUUAAGUGGGCCUAAAAGCAGCCACCCCUACAGAAAGCGUUACAGCUCAGGCAGACAUUAAUCUAUUAUUCUUAUAACUUAUCCAAAACCCCUAAACCUACUAGGCCUUUCCAUGCUUUCAUGGAAGUGAUCCUACUAAAAUCAGUAACAAGAAAGUAACCCUUUCUCCUAAUCCCAGUGUAAGUUAGAUCGGACCCCCCACUAACAAUUAACGAACCCAACUAAAGAGGGAAGUGUAAUCAACAAAGACCACAAGAAAAACUUACAUAAUAUAAUCGUUGACCCAACACAGGAGGAUUAAAAGGAAAGACUCAAAAAGGGGGAAGGAACUCGGCAAACAUAAGCCUCGCCUGUUUACCAAAAACAUCGCCUCCCGCAAAACCCAAUGUAUAGGAGGUCUUGCCUGCCCAGUGAAUAAAUUUAAACGGCCGCGGUAUCUUGACCGUGCAAAGGUAGCGCAAUCACUUGUCUUUUAAAUGAAGACCUGUAUGAAUGGUGAAACGAGGGCUUAACUGUCUCCCUCCUUAGGUCAGUGAAAUUGAUCUACCCGUGCAGAAGCGGGUAUAACAAUACAAGACGAGAAGACCCUUUGGAGCUUAAGACGCUAGGACCAACUAUGUCAAAAACCUUUAAUUAAAAAGUUUAAACCUAGUAGCAACUGGUCCCAGUCUUCGGUUGGGGCGACCGCGGGGAAAAACACAACCCCCAUGUGGAGUGGGUAAAAACCUAAAACUAAGAAAGACAUUUCUAAGACACAGAACUUCUGACCAUUAUAGAUCCGGCUACAUAGCCGAUCAACGGACCAAGUUACCCUAGGGAUAACAGCGCAAUCCCCUCCCAGAGUCCCUAUCGACAAGGGGGUUUACGACCUCGAUGUUGGAUCAGGACAUCCUAAUGGUGCAGCCGCUAUUAAGGGUUCGUUUGUUCAACGAUUAAAGUCCUACGUGAUCUGAGUUCAGACCGGAGCAAUCCAGGUCAGUUUCUAUCUGUAAUGCUAUUUUUUCUAGUACGAAAGGACCGAAAAAAUGGGGUCCCUAUUGUAAACACACCCCACCCUUAAUUAAUGCAGACAACUUAACUAAAUAAAAGGAGAGCACACCCAAACUCAAGACAAGAGUUU